rnacentral:rRNA from 1 species
UUAGAUUAAGUUAUUAAGGGCGCACGGUGGAUGCCUUGGCACUAGAAGCCGAUGAAGGACGUUACUAACGACGAUAUGCUUUGGGUAGCUGUAAGUAAGCGUUGAUCCAGAGAUUUCCGAAUGGGGGAACCCAGCACAAGUUAUGUUGUGUUAUCGACAAGUGAAUUCAUAGCUUGUCAGAAGGCAGACCCGGAGAACUGAAACAUCUUAGUACCCGGAGGAAGAGAAAGAAAAUUCGAUUCCCUGAGUAGCGGCGAGCGAAACGGGAAGAGCCCAAACCAAUAAGCUUGCUUAUUGGGGUUGUAGGACACUCUAUACGGAGUUACAAAGGAAUAUAUUAAACGAAUCAUCUGGAAAGUUGAAUCAAAGAAGGUAAUAAUCCUGUAGUUGAAAAUAUAUUCUCUCUUGAGUGGAUCCUGAGUACGACGGAGCACGUGAAAUUCCGUCGGAAUCUGGGAGGACCAUCUCCUAAGGCUAAAUACUCUCUAGUGACCGAUAGUGAACCAGUACCGUGAGGGAAAGGUGAAAAGUACCCCGGAAGGGGAGUGAAAGAGAACUUGAAACCGUGUGCUUACAAGUAGUCAGAGCCCGUUAAUGGGUGAUGGCGUGCCUUUUGUAGAAUGAACCGGCGAGUUACGAUCUGAUGCAAGGUUAAGCAGAAAAUGUGGAGCCGUAGCGAAAGCGAGUCUGAAUAGGGCGUAUAGUAUUUGGUCGUAGACCCGAAACCAGGUGAUCUACCCAUGGUCAGGUUGAAGUUCAGGUAACACUGAAUGGAGGACCGAACCGACUUACGUUGAAAAGUGAGCGGAUGAACUGUGGGUAGCGGAGAAAUUCCAAUCGAACUUGGAGAUAGCUGGUUCUCUCCGAAAUAGCUUUAGGGCUAGCCUCAAGUGAUGAUUAUUGGAGGUAGAGCACUGUUUGGACGAGGGGCCCCUCUCGGGUUACCGAAUUCAGACAAACUCCGAAUGCCAAUUAAUUUAACUUGGGAGUCAGAACAUGGGUGAUAAGGUCCGUGUUCGAAAGGGAAACAGCCCAGACCACCAGCUAAGGUCCCAAAAUAUAUGUUAAGUGGAAAAGGAUGUGGCGUUGCCCAGACAACUAGGAUGUUGGCUUAGAAGCAGCCAUCAUUUAAAGAGUGCGUAAUAGCUCACUAGUCGAGUGACACUGCGCCGAAA